ACUCACCGAUUCUUACCUGCUCUGUUCCUUCUCCACUCACCCAUUCUUACCUGCUCUGUUCCCUGCACCCUUUCCCACUGUGCCCUCGGGAGUAACCAUCCUCACUAACGAACAACCCUUUGGGUCCUCUUCCUAACCAUACACACACCCUCUUUCUUCUGUCCUUAACCAAAGCCUGCCCUCUUCUCCCAGCCAGCACUCCACUUCCUUGAAGCCCUGUGGAGUAAAAGCUGACCCUGUGGUCAGAAGGGGGUCUGGUGUCCACCCAUUUUCCAGGCCCCUCUACACCUCUGAUGUGAACCCCAACACCUUAUGCUGGGUCCCCUCUGCCUGCACUGGGAGCCUUCCUCCAGCAGUGUACUCAUCACAGACGAUGACAGCAACCCCUCGCCUCGAGGUCUCCCUCUCCCUCCCAAGACUGUGCCUCCCUUCCUGCUCUCCUGCUCAGCUUCGUCUCCACUCUAUCACCUGUUCACUCCACCACAGCCUGGCUUUCAACACACUCUCCCUGCAUCCUAUUCCACUCAAAUAGCUGUGGCCAAAGGUAACACAUGAUGCACUGAUGGCAAGGCCAUAAGAAACUUCUCAGUCCUUCAUUUCUCGAUUUUAUAUGCUUUUUCCAUGCCCUCAUUGGAAGGGUUCCAGCCCCUUUCUCAUGAAUGUACAUCAAGGGCCAUCUGCUGGGACAUCCAAUUCCUGCUUAAUUCUGAGGUCCCCUGUGAAUGGAUUUGAAAAUGAUGACAGGGUGCUGUGCUUCUAAACUGGGUUCCAGUGAACCACGUGGCGAGAAUACUUAACAGACGAAGAGGAGACACACUGCAAGUAAAUGGGACUAAGGCUGGAGGGACAAGCAUGGCCUCAGGAAAUGCUGUGCCCCAAGACCUCGGGCUGAGUGGGACGGACGUGCUGCUGUUAGUGGAGGAGGUGGGGAGGGCUGGGCAGCAGAUGACAACUCCCCAUUGUGUGCUAGGGGCUCUGCACAGCAUUUUUCUUUCUUUUGUUUUUUCAGACAGGGUCUCACUGUGUCACCCAGGCUGGAGUGCAGUGGUGUGAUCAUGGCUCACUGCAGCCUCAACCUCCUGGGAUCAAAUGAUCCUCCCACCUUAGCCUCCUGAGUAGCUGGAAUUACAGGCAUGCACCACAACACCUGGCUAAUUUUUUUUUUUUUUUUUUGUAGAGACAGGGUUUUGCAAUGUUGCCCAGGCUAGUCUUGAACUCCUGGGCUCCGGUGAUCUGCCACCUUGACCUUUCAAAGUGCUGGGAUUACAGAUGUGAGUCACCGCGCCCUGCCUGCACAGAAUUGUUCAUAAGGCUGACAGACAAGCAGUUCUAAUGGAAGCUUUUAACUUGCCACGUGGAAAUUCAGAUGUUUGGGCUCAGAUUCACGCUCAUCUGAGGAAUCAAUUCUGUAGAGAAAAGCUCUAUGAGCCGCACUGCUGGGUGUCACCCAGUGACCUCACUGUGAGAAAGCAGGCACCAGCUUGGACUUCUUACCAGGACCACGGGUCUCUUAUGAGCUUGUCCUGACGUGGAGUGGAACCCUAGCCCUGGGAGACAUGCUGAGGAGGUUCCUUACACACACGGAGAGUGGGCAAGGCCCAGGAUCCUGAGAAAUGCACAGGACACAGCGGUUCCUUAACCCUCUAUGGCCUGAGGUUUUGUUAACAAAGUAAGAUAGGUGUUUUUAAUAUUUAAAAGAGACAGAAAACUUUGCAGUGUUAUUUAUGCAAUUGAUUGUCUCUAUAGCUAUUCUCUAGUUUCUUGAAACAAGACUAUAAGGUUUUUGACUUGGGGGACCUGAAAAUCCUUGCCAGGGCCAUAAUGGGUUAAAAUGGUAUUCAGAUCACCUCACAGCACAGCAACAUCAUCCCAAUGCCUUGAAAAUGAUAAAGUCAAAUCACAAAGCCAAGGCCUAAGCAUCCAGUCUCUUAGGAACACCAUAGGCCUCCUCAUAGCCAGAGAGAGAGGAGGUGCUUGGAAACCUCCAGACCUUGUUUUGGUAGCUGGGAGCUUGGAGCUCAGCCUCCUGAAUUCAGGCUGUUCAGAAAGCAUUUGUGCUGGCUUUCCCAGAAUCUCACUCCCUCAUUCCCCACCUACCGAACCCUGGAGUCCUGUUGGCAAGACUGGAGUAGGCAUUCCCACUUGGCGAGGAGGUAGCUGGGCUGGAGAGGGGGCUGUAGGAAGAGGGGUCUGCCGGGUAGGUGUGGCUCGUUCCAAUCCCAAAGGGAGAUGACUGAGUCUUGCUGGACUGAGAUGGGAUUUGCUACAAUCAGGACAAAGCAAAGAGAUGGAAAGCAUCACCAGCAGACCCCUGCACCCCAACCGAUGCCCCAGGCUGGUCGCAGGGGCAGUGCCUGCUCUGGGUUGACAGUGACUCCCCAUGACCCUCUUGUCUGGCUAGGCACAGGCCUGGGAUCAGCCCGGUGUGUGAGGGCCCAGGAACUGCAGGAUCUUUGGGGCACGUCUGGUUGAAGUUACUCCCCAGGGCUACGAGGAUCCGGGCCCUCUGGAGUCUGGUUACCAAGGCCUUGGCAUUAUGAACACCUAGAACUCCCUCAGCCCAAUCAACACCCACCCUCACAGUGACUAUGAGGGUCUGGGGAUGUCACAAGGGUUGGUGGUUUCAUGCCCUCCUGGCGCAGGGGCAGCCAGAGGUCCAGAGUAGUGAGGGGCUCAUUCUUGAUGAGGUGUCUCAACCUGCCCAACCUUUCCCUGCCAGCUGCCUCAGGGCAUGGCUGUAAGGAGAAAAGGCUGCUGAAGUUGCAGGCUGGGCACCUGGCUCUCCGAGAGCCCUGAGGGUGGAUGGUGCUCCUGAGUAGCCAGCUGCUGUUAGGGUGGUUGGUUCCAGCUAGGAGCCGACCCAUCCUCAGAACCGCAAUCCAAAGAAAACACUUCCCAGAGUGCUCUGCCUCUCUGGUCACCCAGGGGAGAUGCCCUCACAGAUGCCCAUACCUGUCCCGGAAAGGGCGGACGACUCCCUGUCCAUGCCACCUGACUCUGGUUUAGCUGCCGGGAGAUUUGGGACAUGUUCUGGCCCGUGGAAGAAGAGGACUGAAUAUCAUUCACUCCAGGCACAUGAACCACUGAAGAGCUAGAAAAGAGGAAAAUGCAUUUAUCCCGAGGACACACCUGGUUUGCAUGAGUCUACGUGCCCAGCCAACCACACAAUCUGCCCUGGGCCAUCUUCCUGGCUCUCUCUCCAUGCAGCACGUCACUAGAGAAAAUGACUCACACAUCGUGAGCCUCAAAGCCCCUUGGCCGUCCUCCUCUCCCUUCAGGGCUUCCUCUACACUGCUGAGUAGUCCUGCCAUGUCUAGUAGUCUGGUACUUCCUCUCCUCGUUCUCCCCAGGGUCUCCCACGCACUCUUCAGCCCCUAUCCUAUGCCUGUACAUCCUCUGCUCUCAGCAGAUGAUUUGGUUCCCAGAAAGAGAGAAGCUUCUUAGAAUAAAAAUCAGUCCCACUGUUCACUCA